GGGGUUGUGGCUCAGUGGUAGAGCGCUCGCCUCUCAUGUGCAAGACCCUGAGUUCAAUCCUCAGAACCACA
rfam:Ictidomys tridecemlineatus contig113260, whole genome shotgun sequence.